ACCGGGUUAACCGGUUAACCGGGUUAACGGUUAACCGGUUAACGGUAACGGUAAACCGGUUAACGGUAAACCGGGUAACCGGGUUAAACCGGGUUAAACCGGGUAACCGGGGUAACCGGGGUUAACCGGGGUAACCGGGGGUAACCGGGGUAACCGGGGGUAACCGGGGGUAACCCGGGG
rnacentral:sRNA from 1 species